CAGGUUCAGAACAAUGGGCCUGGUUGAUGUUGCCACCACAGAGUUUAAAAACAGUGAUCUGCAGAAGAGCAGCAUGAAAGGUGAAGAGAGCCAUGUCACUUGACAUGCUGAGCACGACCCAUCCGAGAGCUGCUGGGACUCCAGGUUCUCAGUAUUUAUACGGUCCAAGCUGAAACCCACCUGUCCAGUGCCUGGAAUGGUACCCAGCCUACAGAAAGCAUUCCGAAUGCUGACCUUACAUUGGGGUGGCUGGAUGGCAUGCUGAUCACGAAAGUGAAGAUUCAUAGCAAGUUCAACCCAAAGCACCGAAGAAACAACUCUAUGCGAAGAACUCACUGGCGAUGCUGAUUUUCCAAAUGGCUUCUUUGGAAUCUGAAUCCCAGAACCAUAAAUUCUGGGAAACUUGUUUUUAUUCUGCAGAGCAAGAUAAAUCCUUGGGAAGUGCUGACCAUGGGUUAGCCCAAGGAACAAAACAGCCAUGACAAACUUUUUGUUAAGGAAGGAGAAAUUAAGUUACCUCAGGAAAUGCAAUUGUGAUUCAAGCACCAUGAAAUUUUGUCAAGCAAAAAUAGUCUUUAUUCAAAUUUAAUGGAAACAGGGGUCACUAUACUUUGCAAGACGGGGAAAAAUAAAAUUAAAAAAAAUUCUUUUCUUGUCUUUUUUUUUU